rnacentral:rRNA from 1 species
UGAGGAAUAUUGGUCAAUGGGCGGGGAGCCUGAACCAGCCAAGUAGCGUGAAGGAUGACAGCCCUAUGGGUUUUAAACUUCUUUUAUAAGGGAAUAAAGUGCCCCACGUGUGGGGUUUUGUAUGUAUCUUAUGAAUAAGCAUCGGCUAAUUCCGUGCC